rnacentral:rRNA from 1 species
CUAACACAUGCAAGUCGAACGGACAAUUAUUUAUAGCCUCUGGCUAUAGGAAAUUGUUAGUGGCAGACGGGUGAGUAAUGCGUAGGAAUCUACCUAGUAGUACGGAAUAGCCAUUAGAAAUGGUGGGUAAUACUGUAUAAUCCCCGAGGGGGAAAGAUUUAUCGCUAUUAGAUGAGCCUACGUUAGAUUAGCUAGUUGGUGAGGUAAUGGCUUACCAAGGCUAUGAUCUAUAGCUGGUCUGAGAGGACGAUCAGCCACACUGGAACUGAGAUACGGUCCAGACUCCUACGGGAGGCAGCAGUGGGGAAUAUUGGACAAUGGGCGAAAGCCUGAUCCAGCUAUGCCGCGUGAGUGAAGAAGGCCUUCGGGUUGUAAAACUCUUUCAAUAGGGAAGAUAAUGACGGUACCUAUAGAAGAAGUCCCGGCAAACUCUG